CUCACAUUUUCUAUGUGGAAUGGACAUGUUGCUGAUUAGAUUUCAAAGUGAAACUUAGCUGCUUGUAAAACAUGUACAAGAUAAUCUUGGCUGGGAGGAAUGGAGAAAGAGAACCCUCUUUCUAUGCUAUAAGUUCUUCAAAUUUGAGUAAAACAGUUUAGUUCAAAUGAAAGAGUUCUGGUAACUUUGAAAGGUUUAUUUUUAAAAAAUUUUGAAGCAGGAGCUAUGAGAGUAAUUAAAUGUGCAUCUACCAUCUACUGAUGGAGACAGAACAUAAUCCUAUAGUCUUAAUGUUUGGACUUAGAAGUUUAUGAGUUGUUAUUUUUUUCCUCUUGAUGCCUUAAAUGCGUGAGAAUCUCUACCUUACCUUAUGCAUAUGCCACAUUUCUCUGGCUUACUGGUCAGCUUCAUGCUUUAGCAGUCAGCUGGGUUUAGUCAGGAGCUGUUCUAAGUUAUUGGAGAUGUGGGGCCGAGCAGCAGGUUAUAGGUAAAGAUUACUGGCAUCUUACAGGUGCCAUUACGGAUGGGCACAUUUGUUAUAUGACAUCUGUUCUCUAUCAGAACUGUAGCACCUGCAGAGUUAUUUCCUUCUCAGCCGUGUGUAUGGAUUUGGUUAUUGGUUGCGUUUUGCUUUCUGAGGUCACUUCAUCUGUUACAUUGAUAAGCUAGCAAUGGGAGGCCAAAGUCCUACUGUGACUUCUGUAUUGAGUUUGUAGUACAGCUUCAAAUGCAAAAAAAUCAGUUGAGGAUGAAGGUGGGACAGUGCCUGCUCAUAAAAGCCACCAGCUGUUAAUUGCUAUUAGUUUUCUUUCAUUGGUCAUUGGCUCUUGAGUGUCUAACAGUGCUUGCAUUUUCCAGCUUCUAAAGAGUGAUUUUAGCAUGAACAAUGCUGAAGAGAGAAAAAAUACACACCAUCUGUACUACUUCUUAAGAUAAUAAGCAUGUCAUUAGGGAAGGAUUUGAUUGUACAGAGUGAGCCUUCACAGCUCAGGAAGCCAAGAGAAGGCCAAUUUCUUCCUUCACCCCCCACAACGUGCAAGAAGUGUUGCUCCAGUUUUUAAAAGCAUGCUCAUAAUGGUGAGGUAACUGCCUGUCCUUUUAGGAACUGAAAUACCACAGUCCCUGAAGUCAUACUUCCUGGUGCUACAGUUAUGUAUUUCAGUAUAUUUUAAAACAAAUUAGAGAUGUUACACUGCACAGAGUUUCACUUUGAAGUGUUAAGGCUGAAAUCAUUGGUAAAUUUUCCCUUCUGUAAAUUGCUCUUUAGAUAAAAAGCUAACAAAUACAUUUGCCUUUUCCUGAUUUCUCUAUUUUUUUUUUUCUUCUAAUUGGUAUCAAAGGUGCUUAGGCUGUGAGCAAUGGUAUUGAUGGCUGUCACAUAACACCCAAAGAGGUGUCUAUUGGUACAACUUGUAUGGAGUUCCACAGGAAUUGUGUUCUGCUGUGUCCUGGAGAGAUGAAAUAAAAUCUAUGUUAACAGCAAGUUAACUGAGGCUACUGGAGCGAAAAGGACAAAGAAAUGCACAUCAUUUGCAUGUGUUAAUAGGAAUAAGGAAGCUGAAAAAAAGAGACUGUGCCCGUACUCCAUCACUGCCAGCACAGCCGCUUGGAGCUGCCCUGAUGCUGAUCUACCGACGCUGGCUUUGUGCCACAGUACAUCCCUCUGUAGGUUCAUCGUUUUGACAAGCAAGGAUUCUCAUUAAGCAAGGGUGGGAAAACGGAGACUGCAGAAGCCUGGUUUGCAUCAUCUGCACUGGACUUGCUCUGUGCAGAUAGUCUCUGUGCACUGGGAUGGAGGGAUGAAGCAGAGCAGCCCGUGAUCGCUCCAGCUGAGCAAUGCAGGCUCAGAACACCUUGUUCAAGUGGCACUCAGGUUCAGUUCUACAGAAUCACUAUAAACACAGAAUCAUUGUGUGAACACUUCAUCCAGCAUAGUGGAGCUUCCAUUCCAUGGACAGAUGCUGUUUGAAGGAACACUGAGAUUCUGGAGUGAAAGCUGCUAUAUGACUUCAAAACAUGGUUGAACAAGGGAGCAGCCUAAUGAAGCGUGGAUCCAGCUACUGGAGACUUUAAAAAUGUAAAGAAUUUUUUCUCUGGUAUUCAAAAUCUAGGUGACCUGUCAGGCCCUUGUAGAUCGCUUCUGAACUGACAAUACUCCAGUGCUUCCUGCAAGUGGAUGCCCAACAAGCAGGAUGGCGGUACAAGCAGGGGAACCUGAGGUGUUCAUCUGCAGCACAGUGUUUAUGAAGAAUACUGAUUUAUUUCUUUUCAGCUGCCAUUCCAGUUGGGAAGUUUACCUAGCCAGCUUAGGUUGUCUUUUCAGGUGGUUCUCACAUUACUUUUGAUGGCUGCCGAUUGUAGUGCAAUUAUAGUUUACAUUGUACAAAAUUACUAUUAUACUUGAUAAUCUUUUCAUUUCUAUAUUUAUUCUCAUGGCUGCAAACAAAAAUAAAGACUGGCUUUCUUUUCUUGGA